rnacentral:rRNA from 1 species
UACGUAGGGUGCAAGCGUUUAAUCGGAAUUACUGGGCGUAAAGCGUGCGCAGGCGGCUUUGCAAGACAGAUGUGAAAUCCCCGGGCUUAACCUGGGAACUGCAUUUGUGACUGCAUGGCUGGAGUGCGGCAGAGGGGGGAUGGAAUUCCGCGUGUAGCAGUGAAAAUGCGUAGAUAUGCGGAGGAACACCGAUGGCGAAGGCAGCCCCCCUGGGCUGACACUGACGCCUCAGGCACGAAAGCGUGGGGGAGCAAACAGG